AUGUAUAAUUUAUACACUGCGUCUCGUCCCGCUCUGACGGUGCUGCCUCCCUCCAGAGACGAGCUGCAGCAGGGGAAGGCUACAGUGCUGUGUGUGGCCAGUAAGGGAUUCCCCUCUGACUGGAAGCUGAGCUGGAAGGUGGACGGCAGCAGCAGGAGCUCUGGUGUCAAUCUGAGUCCCAGUCAGCUGCAGAAGGAUGGACUGUACAGCUGGAGCAGCAGCCUGAGCCUCACUGAGAGUGAGUGGAGCAGUGCAACAACCGUCAGCUGUGACGCCACGCACCCGUCCCACAGUGCAGUCACCAAGAGCUUCGACACACAGCAGUGUAAUGAAUGA